CUGGAUUGCGCUAUGCAUUCUGGGUAGGAUCGUUUUGAGGAAAGAAGCGAGUCCGGCGUAGAAAUUAAGUCGUUUCUCCGCGGCAUAGACGCACCAAAAUCGGAACCGUUUCCGCGGAGCUGCUGUAUGUUUCACGUAGGUUGGAGAUCGUAAGGUUUCCCAGGAACUUUUGAAUGUCAAGUACUGAACUGCUUGAGCAAAGUCUCAGUGACAAAUUUCUAACAGAAUCCCAUCAAGUUGUCAUGGAAUCUAUUUUGAAAAACCCUGCCAUAAGCCAAAGGAAGAUAAGAAGUGAACAGGGCAAGGGAUAAAAAAGCAGUUCAAGAAAACCAUCUGAAGAAAUAGGAAAGCCACGUUCACGCUGGUAAGACAGAAAGGAAAAGCGAUAAGAGGUAAGUUACCUGGUACAGAGAUUAUAUAUAUUUAUAUAUACAGAUAUAUACAGAUGAUGCAUGCACAUAUGGUAGAUAUAUAAUGAGAAAAGGAAUUCUGGGCACUUAGUUCUACAUUCUGUGAAACCUGUAUGCAGAAAACUAUGCACUCAAAGCAGCUCUAUAGGUUUUGAAACUUGGAUCCCAGCUCUGAAUGGUAUCAGUGCAAAAGCUUUUCUGUCUGCUUUGUGUGCAAAGCCAGUCCUUGCAUCCUUGCAUUCUCUCUCCCAGAAGUAUGCAAAAUCCUUGACCUUUGGUCCUUCUUCCUUCAUCCCUGUAGAAGAGUUCUUGAAGCCUUGUGUUCAAGCACAGUUGGUCUGGUCUCCACUUGGGGAGAGUGGCUGGCAGCUAUGAACAGGGCCUGACAGAUGUCAAAAGGCAGCCUGUCCAGUUAGGUUACCAUUGGACAUUUGCUAUUGUCAGAUAAAUUGCUGUCCCUUUCCUCAGCCAUGUCAACCAAUAUCACUUCAAUGAAAGAGAUAGUGCAAGUAAUCUCCCUCACUUGCAUUUUUGUAGAUUUGCAGAGGCAUAUCUGUUGGAGAAAUUUUAAAUAUAAAUAUAUUAAAGACUUGCAGUCCAAUAUAUGGUAAGUUUUGUAAUCAGGUGUGAGUAAUCUAUGACCAUCUGGAUGCUGUGGGUCAAUUAUUUUCAUUCAUGGAGCCAUGGAGAUGGCCUCGAGGGAACUAUUCAGAAGCUGUUACAAAAAUAAAAAGAACAGAAGUAUUCAUUUAGUCUUUGGAAAGAUACUUCUUUCUGACUUUCUAGGAUAAAAGGAGAGGGUGAGACUGAAUCAGACUUGCAAGAUUCUGUUCCCUAUCUCAAUAAAGUUAAAUUCUUCUUUUUCAUGGAGGCUGAAUAAAUCUCAAAGAGCUGAUACCUGCGUGAGCAGGGGAUUGAACUAGAUGACCUCCAAGGUCCCUUCCAACUCUGUUAUUGUUACCUGUUUGAGGAUAAGAGGAGUUCUUCAACAAAUCUCAAGAGUACCAUGUUGGGGAAGGACAGAUUGUUCUAUACAUGUACAAGAAGAGGAGAUUCAUCUGCUCUUAUGGUUCUGAUUUACAGCUUUGAUUUUUAGACACUCAAGGAAAUGAAGAUUCAAACACUGCUGUUUUGACGAUUAGUUCUAAUUAUGUAAACUAGAUAACCCAUGAUCUAUUGGGUCAAUGUUUAGAGAUACUUCCCUACCUAAAACGCAAGCACCUUCCAUGCACCUCAUUCACUACCUUUCAAACAGCCAGCAUCAUUCCUUAUCUUAUACCUCUUGCACAUGCCUGUGCACCUUUCCAAACUUACAUAGUGCAUCUCAUAUAUCCUCUUCGCAUCCCUGACUCGUGUUUCACACAGACCAGUACACUUUUUUUGCAUCAAUCCCAACCUGAUGUAUACACCUCUCAUGCACCCUCCCUGAUAGUGUGGCACAUCCAGCACAUUCUUACUCCUUCGUCCAUCUGGCAGCAGCCACUCACUUGCCUACCAGUCUGGGAUUUCCGACUUCCUUAUGGGAAAUUGAGAAAGAGAAUUGGAAAUGAUGACCGCAUGACCAUAGCAGUGCAAGAGUAUGGCAAUGUUGAAACAGUCACAACUCUGCCAAAUUUCAAUCUCCCAGGAGUUAUUGGUCUCAGAUUUUGGAUGUAUUUUGUAAGUUAUCCCAUUUGAGAUACAUUAGUUCAAAAAUUGUUGCCCUAUGAAGCACUGUUUUGCCCAAUUUACUAUUAGAAACAGGCAGAGUUUUAGUUCAGUGGUGCAUAGAUGAACAAAUUUCUUCUAGUUAAGUUGGAGCUUGAAAACUUAAUAGGACAAUAUGGAUUUCAAUUAUUGAGUAGUAAAUGCACCCUGAAAUAGCAUUUUCACCCUUUUCUGUUCUGACAGGGGUUUUAUACCUUUAUUCUCAAGCACAGAGGAAGGAUUUCCCAUUGGUGCAUCAAGCUUAUUGACUGAAACUCUCCUCUCAGUUUUCAUCAAAUCCUUUAAAAGUCAUUCAGAACUCCCUGUAGCAAUAAACUUAAUUAUAUGCCAUGGAAGAAGAAAUGGUUUGAUCCUUAUUUUUUAUCUAUUAGUGUCAGUGACUGGUGAUGAGUUUCUUUUCCUCAAAGAGAAUAGAAUACAUUUAUUUUUUUCCUAAGUCAUUCUGUCCUCAUUAUUUGUUAUUUUAUCUCAGAGAUGUGGGAAUGUCUCUUUCCUUCCCUUUUUGAUUGAUAUAUUAUUAUUUUUAAAAAGAUUAACACUGAUUCCUCCUUCUCAGCAUUUAGCCUGGAGCUGCCUUUCUCCAGGCUUUUCCCUACUUGCAUUUAAUUACAGUAUAAAUAUGCCCUGGCAGCAUUUUUUUGUCUUCCCACUAUAUCUGCAUUGUGUUGACUCUCCAAUCCAAGAGUGUAACAGCUUUAAAUCAAGUUUAGUUGUAGCUGGUAUUUUCUCCUUGUACUCUAACACCAUUCAAGGGCAACAUUAAGAUAUCUAUACUCUGGUGGACUUAGUCAGGUGACUUAUUGACUAUGAAGAAGGCAAUGCAAGCAAGAUAGGAUCAGUAAUGGGAAUAGCACAGUUUACAUUAAUAUAUACUCUAUUUACUCAUAAGUUGCAUAUGCACAACAAUAUCAACACGUUAACAGAACCAUAGUUUUAUUCAACUCAGUUUUCAAAGAUCCUUUGAUAUAUUGAACCAUAAAUGAGCUACUAAGCAUGAAAUUGACUACUUCAGUAAGACUUGCAAAUAUAUUUAUUUUUAAUUUUAAAAAUGGCAUUCUGGUCAAGCUGUUGCACUUUAAAGCUGACUGUGUUGUCCUCCAAGCUGGUUCCAAACCCAUGUGGAGCAAUCUCACUUAAAAUAAGCUAGAGAACAUGUGCAAAAGGAAAAUUAUAACAGAGAUUUUUAAAGUGUAUUUUGUUUUAAUUACAGAUUUUCUUCUCUGUUUUCCCUGACUUAAUUUCUCUGCUUAUGAUACAAUUAAAUUAAAUAAAGGCUAAGAAUGUGGUUUAUUUAGCAACAACCCCAUUAUUAAUAAAAUAUCUCUUGGUGAUGCUACAAGCAGUUAUGUUCCCCAUCCAAAAUUGAAUGGUCUCUCUACUUAUUUUCUCUCAUUUUUUUCAUAUAGCAAAAUAGCACUUCUCACAAUAAAGAGAAAUAAUAUUUAAAAAUAUGAGAAGAAUGCAGUAAUUUAAAUAUACUUGCUGCAGAAUAGAAACUGCCCAAUUAAAGAGUGAUUCAUCAGUGAUGGAUUAUAUUCAAGAAAAAGCAAGUAGGUUCUAAUAUAUGCUACAAGGAAACUUUACUGACUAGAAUUCGUUACAGAGUAAACAUUUUUUAAGUAUCUUAAGUAGGAUUGGCCAAUAAUACGCACAUUAAUAAAUGUCUUCUGAAGCCAUAACUUUAAUUUUAUAUCUAGCUAAUUAUUAAAAAAACAAUACCUCAUCAAUGCCAAAUGCCCUUAAUGUAGCAGAAACUGCUAUUCAUAGGCUAUUUGGUAAUAUAGCAGUUUUUCAUGGGGACUAUUUCACACAGGUCCUGUUCAUGUGACAUACUUAAUUAGGUCAUGGGUGGGGGGAGGCGGAUGAAUGUGGUGCCAAUAGGAAAAUGGAGCCAGCUAAUUAAUGUGAUGGGACAGAGAGGGGUUGAUUAAGCCCUAAAAAGCCUCAGGUUUGUUUGGAUUGGGGCCAAAAUAAUUAUUUUGGGCACAAUGCAAAUAACUUAUGAAGGGUUAACUGCCCUCCCUGUAGAAUUACAAAAAUGGGACAUCUCUAGACAUCUUGAUGAUAUAGCCAUUUUGCUUUUCACCUUCCCAUAGUAGGAGAAGCAGAAAUAAAAAGGACAGACAUUUCCCCCCCACCCAUUCACGGUGAUGCCAAUCCUCAUCCAUUAUGAGAUAUCUCUCUCUCUCCGCCCUCUCCCUCUCUCUCUCCGAAAAUCUCCCAGAUGGCUCAGUGUAUUAGAAAAUAGCCAAGGGAUAAUUGAUUCAAUUAUUCCAACUUGUCAGCAUAUAGAAAUUUGUGAUUGGUCAGGAGAUUGGAUGUCUGGAUCAGUUUUGCUAUGUAAAUACUGUAUGGUCAUCAAAAACUGUUAUAUAAGCCCAUGGAAUCUGAUUUAUCAGUUUAAUUAUAAAAUUAUAAUUCAAUCAGUUUUUAUAAAUUUAUGCAAUUUAAUGUCUAUGUCAUAGAAUCUGGAUAAGAGAAAAUAUUUUAUUUUUGGGUAUUCUCUUUUUCAUGCUAUAAAUUUCCAUAUUUGGUACUCAUGUGCAUUAUAUUGGCCUAGAAUUUAUACUAGCAAAUUUGUAUGAUUUGGUCAGUGCCCAUCUAAUAAUUUGCUUGGUUUCACUAGUACAACAAUCAAGAACGAUCCAGCAAUAUUAGGUCAAACAUUUUGAUGGACAGCCAACUAGUAAGUGACAGUGGUGUGUUGGAUAUAUGACACAUAUCUCAAAUGACUUCUGUCAGGUGCUUUCUGCAAAGGAGAAAUCAGUAGUUCAGUCAAAUAAUUUUAAAAGACUGAUCUUAAUAGAUUUAUCAUAUUUUUCACAAGACACAAGACUAAGCUGAUGACCCAAAUCAAAUAUCCUUAUUUUGAUUAUGGCUCCAAGUAAUUCAAAGAAUACUAUUUGAAGAUUACAGGUCCCCAUUUCCAUUUCUCCAGAUGGGACCUGGCACCCCAUAAACUCUCUUUCCUGGUUAGUAUCCACAAGACUUCUUAAUAUCACUAGUCCCUUAUCCAUUGAAGAGACUGGUAGGAGUAAGUAUGGUUUGGGCAUUGUAGACAGUCAAGAUUUUGAAAGUGUGUUUGAUAUUGCUAUUGUGAUACAAUAGUGAAUUUUGUACUAGAGCUUAUUUAUUCAGCCAUUGACAAGGAUGGGAUUAGUUUAACUCUAUGCACAACUGGGCUGUUCUGAAUUAUGGUUAACUCUCCCAUGAUUAUUUUACUGGCAUUUGGUCUAAUGGUUAAGUCACCAGGCUACUAGGAGAUUGUGAGUUCUAGUUCUGGCUUAGACAUGAAGCCAGCUGGGUGACUUUGGAGAUGAGGAAAGCCAAUUUUACAAACAGAAGGCCUUUCUGUAGCAAAUUAUCUUUUUCCCCUAUAUCCAAAUGUCAAGACCAACACAUGCAACAUGAACUGAAAGCAUGAGGAAGGAGAACCAGGGGUGAAAUGCUACUGGUUCGGCCUGGUUCAUCCGAACUUGUACUGAUGGCAGCAGGUGGUUCGGAGAACCGGUAGCAACGGCAGCGCAUGGCUCCACUCACCCAGCUGAUCGUCAUUACUUCCUGGUUUUAACCAAGAAGUAACCUGUUUUUUACCCUCUGCACAUGCAAAGAGGGUCCGCAUGAACAUGUGAUGCGUGGCCCGUGCACUUCCGAAUCGAUAGGAAAGGUAAGUAGAUUUCACCCCUGAGGAGAACCAACUGUUUAUUUCAUAUUCCGGUUGCAUGGAGUGGAUUUUGAUUACUCUAGGACUGGUAGUAGCUCAGCUAAAGAGCAGGAGGCAUGGUGGAUGUCAUCGAUGGAAGGAGAUGAUAAUUGUUAUCUCAUCUAGUCAACUGAAAGAGCACAAAUUGUCUCCUGAAAUCUCUACUAAUAAUAUUAGUAGAAAAUAGUAGAAGUGAGUGAUGAGGAAAGUAUUGGCUUUGAGCAGCAGGCUGUGGAAUAAAAACAGUGAUAACUUGGAAUUGCCCUUAGAUAGGUAGAUGGCAGAUCUGCAUAAUUUGUGGUCUACUAAACCCGAUGAGGUACAUCAAUCAUAUCUUAUGGCCAAACAGAUGGUAAGCAACAUCCAUUUUUGCCAUCUCAGCAGCAAAACCAGGAAGUGUAUCUUGGCUUUUAACAAUGUUUUAAUGGUAUUUAAAAUACACUUUCUCCUACUGUUUAAGAUAUAAAUACUUCUAAGACAUCUUAGAAGAAAAAUCUAAGAAUCACAAAUAAACAGUGCUUAAAAGUAGCAAAAAAUUGUGUUAUUUUUCCCCAAAGCAGUGGGGUGGUUUUGAUCCUAUGUCAGUCGAAAUAGCAGAGGAGAGAAUUGGAAAACAGGACCACAUAUUCUUUUCAUGAAUUUCCCUUUAGCAAUAAAGUAAUAUGAUGUAUUAAGAAUAUAUGAUCUUUAUAUUAAAAAAAUCAGGGAUGAAGCUUCACAUUUUUUUCAGCAACCCAGGAUCACAGUGGCUCAGUCUAAAAUUUUGGGGAAAUGUUUUCUACGUUGUGAGAACAGGAGCAAGGAUUCUUUUUCAAAUUAUCAAUUUAAAUGACUGAAGACCAUACAAUUUUUUAUGCAUCAUUUCUUUUUUCUUUUUUUUCAGUAGAAAGCUGGCAGGAAAUUAUAUGUCUACUGUUGCUCAAUUUACUGCCCAAUUGCAGCGGCAUGAUCUGAGGAUUGUCAGGGGCCCAUAAAAAGUACUUAAAAAGUGAAUGAAAAAUUUAUAUACUGACAAAUAGGACUGACUUUCUGGUCAAAAAUGGAUGGAGGAAAAUCUACUAUGAGGAUUUUCUUAUCUCAGUUUCUCUGCAUCUGAUGAGAAAAAAAACACAUUUGAAAUGUCUUUUAAUUUACCAAAUUUGUCAGGGCCAAUAAUUGGGAAUAAAAAAAAAACCUAGAUAAUUCAAUAUCUUUUAUUCCAAGUUUGUUCUGUCUGUGUUACUUCAUUUGAUAAAGGUUUUUAGGAAACAGAAUGAUGCCUUACACACAGAUUACACACAGUAGUAAUCUCUCUACACACACUGUCAUUUGACCAGGUGAAGCUUUUUAGAUUUUCAGGUUAAACACAUUGUCUUAUGGAAAUGCAAUUUCUGAAUUUUGAUGUAUACAGAAUAUUUCCAGUGAAUGAGAACAAUUCAAAUUAGAAAACUCUGCUGGCUUUCUGUUAGUGUUUAAUUAUUGUGUAAGGAGUUGCAGUAUGUAUUUAUGGAUAUUUCAACAUCUGCAUAUUUUCAAUUUCAAUCUAUAUUUAUGUAUUUCACUAUUUCAUUCUUAUUAAUUUGAUCGUUAAUAUUGAGUUACAUUUACCACAUCUAUUUCUAAAUACAAUAUACUUUUUACCUGGCAGUAAAUCCCAAUAAACUCAUUUGUGAAAAUAUACUGUACUUAUAAGACUGUACUUUUUUUAUUUAGCUUAAUGUCUCAGUUCAUUAAUUUUUUGAUUAUUUUUCUGGGUAACAAUAUCUUGGAAUAAAAUAGUUUGUGUACAGCUGAAAUAGUUCAGUCUCCUUCAUCUUGUUCCUCUCCAUGUUGGACCAUGUUCUGGCCAUGUUAGAUAAAAAACUGUGGAAGUUAUAAUCCAAUAUAUCUUUAAACAUUAGGCUCUGAAAAACUAAUCUAAUGAAUGAGAUACAAACAUUUCUGUGGGAAAAAAGAUGGCAAUAAAACAUGUUAUGGAGUUUCGUAGAUUUUCUGUUUUGUUUCAUUUGUAAUAAAAUAAACAUUUAUAUUAAGAUAUUCUAGACUCAAGCAUCUGUAAACAGUAUCCUUUGAAUUAGAAUUCUUGCCUUUUAUUUCCUGAUGUAUGAAAAUCAUUUUUAUAUACUUUGUGGCACUAAGAAACAUACUUUGUAUAUGCUCAAAAGUAUUUCUAUCUGUUUUAUAACUUAAGAUCAGCAUAAAUCAGUGGAGUGCUGGAGCUGGUUUGUACUUGCAAAAGCCGAUUCUUAAAUUUUCUGGAAUUUUACAAGCCAGAUGAGAGAAGGGAAGACCUGAGUCACCACACCUAGAUCAGCUGUCUGGUGGUUAGCAGCACCACACAGUGGCAGCAAUGGAGCUGGCAGAGUCAGUGUUAAAUAUUUACCAGAACACCACUGAGCAUAGGAACCAACUGGAGUUGAGUCAAUGACCCCAGCUUGUUAAAUUUUAGACUACAUAAACCUGCAAAGCUGAAUGCCUACACUUUAUGCUCAGGUUCUUUUGCUCAUAUGAUAAACAAUUAAUGCAGGAUGCCAUUACCAAGAAUUUUUCUUAUUUAACAGUUUCAUUUCAAGCCGUCCUGUAGAGAUCAUUUCCUUGUGCAGCCAAUAUGGUGUGUAUAAUGAAUUUAUAGCGUAUGUGAGAGAAAGUAAAACUGUACUUUAGGCCUACAUUAACAUACAUUCUCAAUAAACAAGCUGUAUUGGGGGGUGGGGGAGAUCUGAUAAGCUUCACCUUGUUGAUCAUUUUUUCAUAUUUUAAAUAAUAAAUAUGUUGUGAUCAGAAAGAUUAGCAAAGGCCAACAUGACAAAUUAUAUAUAAAAAAGAAAUAUGUCUGACAUGAGUCUGAAAAUUACACAUACAACCCUGUGUCAUUCUUC